AAUCCGGACUGUUAAGAAGAUGAUAAAGAGGCGAUUCUAUAGGGAAGAACACGGGGAUAGAGAUGCACCUUCCCUGGAUUCAUCUUCUUCUGAUUCUUCUUCUUCUUCUUCUUCUGACUCUGAAGUUGAAGCAGAAGCUACAAAGGAAUCAGAGGAUCAUGCUGUAGUUGCUGAGCCGAAAGAAAAUGACGAGUUCUGCUCCUCAUCGUCCGGUUUUACAAAUGAAGAUGAUGGAACUGGAAAUGAAAAGCAAAUCCCUGUUGGCC
rnacentral:misc_RNA from 1 species